UCUUCCACAAUGGACGCAAGUCAGAUGGAGCAACGCCGCGUGAGUGAAGAAGGUUUUCGGAUCGUACAGCUCUGUUGUUGGUUAAGAAGGAUAGAGGUAGUAACUGGCCUUUAUUUGACGGUAAUCAACCAGAAAGUCACGUCUACCUACGUGCCAGCAGCCGCGUUAAUACGUAGGUGGCAAGCGUUGUCCGGAUUUAUUGGGCGUAAAGCGAGCGCAGGCGGAAGAAUAAGUCUGAUGUGAAAGCCCUCGGCUUAACCGAGGAAUUGCAUCGGAAACUGUUUUUCUUGAGUGCAGAAGAGGAGAGUGGAAUUCCAUGUGUAGCGGUGGAAUGCGUAGAUAUAUGGAAGAACACCAGUGGCGAAGGCGGCUCUCUGGUCUGCAACUGACGCUGAGGCUCGAAAGCAUGGGUAGCGAACAG
rnacentral:rRNA from 1 species